GUGCGCAUGAGCAGCGGUCAGUACUUCUGAAUAGAAGUAGUUGAUUGGAUCAAAGUGUGGACUGAGCAGUGCAGUUGCUGAUUUUGAGGAUUCUCAAGUGUUUUCAAUACAGUUCUGCAAAGUCCGUCGUAUGCCAGAGUCUAUGAAUAUUAUGCGGCAGCGUUUAUUCAAUAGCAACACGCUCCGAUAUUUCUAUUUAUACGCAUAACAGCGCAUUCUAUCAUCAAAAUGGCUGUAUAUUGAGUCAAUGUUAUUUUGUAGGUAUGGUUUGGCAAUGAGUUCGAAAGUGUUAAGCAAAGCAAUAAAGAAACAAUACAAUUGAAUGCUAACGUUCCCACAACAAGUCCAUACUAGGCUACUGUAUUCUGCAAACAUGAGGUUAUUUGGAUUCCUUUUUGGAGGUGUAGGAGGAAAAGCAAUGGCAGUGCCUCGUAUCGUAGCAUUACUUGGCCCGCAAGCCUCUGUUCAAAUAGCCAUAGUAGGAACUGUGUUAGCGUAUUACGCUGUAAAAGCUGUCGUUUCUACAAUAAGGACACGACCAAAUAUUUCCUUAUCUGGUCCGAAACAAACAUUAUUCAUUCGAUCAAAUAGUGGACAUAAUCAAACCAAUCGUGAUAUUAAGAAAAACGAUGGAAAUAAACCAGUAAACUCCAACGCACAAACCAACACUAACACACGAUCAGAAC